AGGCACCCCAUAGGCGGACCCACAUUGGCCCUGAAGCCAUUUGAGUCAAGCGUGAAUCAAAGGGAAUACUGCAUAGGGGGCGAAUUUUAGAUUGGAUAUUUAAAAUAAUCCAGGCUAUAGUUUAAGUUUAAGGGUGGACCAGCAACGCUUUUAUCUCUGUUCAUAAAAGAAAAAAGGAUAAAAAAGAAGUGAAGCGAAACAAUUUAGGGCAAAAGGAGACUUCACGUGAGAGCGAUAGGAGAGAGAAAACAGCUCCGUCUGUGGAUCACCCUGCUUUAAUGGAGAAAAUCUGCAUGGAGUCUUUUCACCGUGUUAAAAAUGGGACUGCAUGAGUCUGCACUGUGUAGCGUAUCCCUGCUGGCACAAGGCGUACUUUGAAGAGUGUGCUUCUCCCAACUCGGUAGCUGAUCAGAACCAGCUGAAUCUGGUGUGAAACAUUGAGUUGGUGUUGGAGGACUUCUGACUUCCUGCAGAGGUUGGUGUCUGUUUGGACUUGGCCUACCUUUUGGAAAAAGAUUGGGAGGUCACACGGUUUAAACGUCUGGUUUGAACUCCAUAUACACGUCCUGCGGGAUGUGUUGUUAUUAAGGCCCAGAUCUCAUUAUGAUGACCACAUCUUCUAUCGUCUUCCACAUCUAGCAGGGCGUCAACAUUAACACAAAGCCAACAUCCGCCCCCCUGUACUAGUGCUGAUGUGGCACUUGUUAAUGGUGCCAGCAUGUCUCAGUCCUGACUAAGGAAGAUAUGGUCUCACAUUAACCAGCAAUGGGGAAGAAAAACAAACAUUCUGGUGGCUGAUCAUCUGUUGAAUUGGUGGGAAUCUGCAACUCAAAGCAUUACGACCGCUGACCUAACAACAAUGCAUUAGAAGGAACUGCAGAAGCCUGUUUUGUUAAAUGGUGUUUGAUGGCUUUAAUAAACAUUUUCCAUUACGCCCAGGAACCAAGAAGAAAGGAAAGAGCUCA